GUUUCUACAAAUCAGCAAGAUCCUCUUGCAGAACUGAUCAUGCUCUGUGUGUUGUCAAACACUUAGAACAUAGGCUUGUACAUACAUACUAACCCAUCAGCAAAGAUUACUUCACAUAACGUUCAUUAGGUCUGUGAUGCUCUUAUGACCUAUUUCAGACUUCCUUCAAGAUAUCAUCUUCAACAUAAAACUUGGAUGGAGAGAAAAUUUGUAGUCAUUUGAGUUUUCAUCCUCAUGUUACUUUCUCUCUUCACCUUUUUAGGUAGAUUAUGACUCCUUGACAGAAUACUGUUAUAGUUCAAAAGAAGAUGCAAUAAUGAUGUACAUUUAUAAUAGUGAGGAACCGUACCUUUUUACUGUCA
rnacentral:lncRNA from 1 species